UUUUGACUUUUCCAAACAAACAAAUGCAGAUAUGAUUGAUGGGAGAACUUACCUGCUCCCAACUUUUCAUUUCAGUGAUGGUAGCGGUUCCUUUUCUCCACUCCUUCAUUAACCAUCCGACUCCCUCUCUCUAAUCCUUACUUUCUCUUUCGUCUCGUCUUCUUCCUCAUCCUCACGAAGAAAGUUGCACUUUUUCUCUCUUCAAUUUUCUUUCUGAUAGACGACAACAAAAUAAAAAAAAAAGUUGGAAACCUCUCAGUUACCAGCACCAGAAAUGGCUUCCGCCGCCGCUCUCCCAGUAGUUACUGUUAUCCCUCUUGAGAAUGAAAUGGAGGCCGACGCCAACUCCCUCCCUCUGCCUGACGUCAUGAAAGCCCCAAUCCGCCCCGACAAGAUUUGAUCUUUGGGGAGGUUGGGUAAAUGGGUUGUUUUCCUUGUUUUGAUUCGAGAGUGGAGGAAAAGCUGAAUCCUCAGAAUGACAGCGAUGGUCCUAAAGAAGUCCACCCAGCUAUCCCUUCUAACUUCUCCAGAUUAUCUUAUGGAGCUGAUAGACUCAAAACAAGAAGCAACGUUGGGUCGAGAAAAGAAUCAUCAGGGCUAAAGGAUAUGCCUGAUGUGCAGAUUGCUGCACAAACAUUCACUUUCCGUGAGCUUGCUGCUGCAACAAACAAUUUCAGGCAAGAGUCUUUCUUAGGUGAAGGAGGAUUUGGACGAGUAUAUAAAGGGCAGCUUCCGUCGGGUCUCUUCCUUUUCCCAGAAAAGAAAUAUUUAAGGGCUUCUGAUUAUCCUAGAGAAUAUGAUGGAGCUUGCCUUCAGAUGAGACUAUCAUAUAGUCCUUGUGCCCACAUUUUUCUCUUUCUCGUCCAGUGGACAGAUUGUCACCUUGCUGGAAUUCUUGGUUUCCUCAGGAUCCUUAUUUAUAAGGCAUACGAAGAUGGUAAGACAUCCAUGUCCGUUCAUGAAGGGAAAGCUACUAUAAAGGAGUUUUAUAGUGCCUUUCUGCAACAUUCCUAGAGUCGAGGUGGCCCACGUGGACCGUUUGAAUUUGUUGAAGCUUGCCCUAGGAGGUCACGUUGGGAGGUUUAUUGUUUGGGCUAAAUCAGCAUUUGAGAAAUUGGAUGAGAUUUACGGGUUAUUUGAUAAGCCUUCCUUGGAGAAGAAGGGGUCUGUUUUGCCCAGGGCUAAGAUGGUGAAUGGUGAUUUGGCCAGAAUUAUCAACUCUGAUGAGGUGCUGGUGAUUUGGCCAGAAUUAUCAACUUUGACGAGGUGCAAUCUGUGGUGAGGCCAAUCAAGAAGGUGGUGAAGAGGGCACCAAUGAAGAAGAGCCCGCUGAAGAAUUUGAAUUGUCUGCUCAAGCUCAAUCCUUAUGCCAAGACUGCUAGGAGGAUGGCUCUCUUGGAUGAGACACAACAUGUUGAGGCUAAGAGGGAGAAACUGGCCAAGAAUAGGAGUCCAAUGACGAAGGAGGAGAUGUCUGCUGUAAAAGCUGCUGGAAAGUCGUGGUACAAAACAAUGAUCUCUAAUAGCGAUUAUGCUGAGUUCGAGAACUUCUCAAAGUGGUUGGGUGUGUCGCAGUGAUUGGUUUCACUUUAAAAGUCAGUCUGUUUUGUUUCAAGUCGGCUACUUGGUGCAUAAUCUCGAAAUUUCCUCCACCAUCGUCAUGCGGUUUUUUUUGGAGUAUGUGGAAGGCAAAUGAGUCUUUAAAGUUGCUGGCCCGCCUGGUGGUUUUGGAGAAAGUACCUCACGGAAGUAUUUCUAAGAAGGAUUUUUCAAGUUGUUUUGUAUUUCAAAAGUUCUCCCCUGCAAUUAAAUUUUUUACCAAACAAUUUAUUUGGAUUAACCUGGAUGUCAAAUACUCAAAAUCCUCUGUGGAAUCUAAUUCCAUGAAACUAAACUGAUUUUUGUGGGAGUUUUCGUACAUUUGAUCUCCUCUGCUGAUUGUAUCAGUGAUGUUGGAGUCUUUGAUUGGAUUUCAAGAAAUUGUAGGUUUAUGGUGUACUUGUAUACUAGAUCAUUUGGUAUAUAAUCUUGUUUUCAAGUUAAAUUGGUCCUAAUGACGGGCCAAUGUGAUUUUCAUGCUUAAAAGUCUUGUGUCAUUGAUGGCUCGAUAAUUUUUGGGAGUUUAGUAAGCUGUUGUAAGUAGCCUUUUUUUAGUGAUAACGGUAUUAUUCACUAUGGCAUUUUAAGAAUUGUACCUGACCACAUGGAUAUUUUCUCCUCCUGGUGGUUUGGUGAUUUUUCUUUUUUAAGUACCUGGAGGCUUUUUUUGAUUGAACUAUUUGAUGAUUUGACUUGUUGCUUAUGGUAUACGUUGGUUUGUUUUGACAGCCGUGUGUGUGGAAAAUCCCAUGGUAUUAUCAGAAAAGUAUGGUCUGAUGUGCUGCAGGCAAUGCUUCUACAGUAAUGCUAAGAAGAUUGGAUUCAUUAAGGUGGUUCAAGGUUUGCCCAAGACAAGGAUUUUCAAAUAUUAGAUUCUAAGCACCUACUUGAAAUAGUGAGAAGGAAUAUAAAGACUUGAAGUUGACAUCUCUAACAAGUAGAUAAAGCUGCAAGUCUUGUUCAAAGCAUAUAAGCAGUGAAGCAAGUCGGAUGGUAGGUUGUUUAGCUAAUGUAUAGGAUGCUAACAACAUGAUAUCUUUUAUUAUGAUGUUAUGUCCCACCAUUUUUCAUUGCAGCAAGAUGAUUGUUUAGGGAUUUUAUUCUCGUUUUGUAUCUCGAUAUGAUUGCAUAUUAUUUUAAAGUUCCUUUUAUGCAAAAAAAAUCCAAAACUACUAAAAGCUAAA